rnacentral:lncRNA from 1 species
GGGAGGGAGGGAGGGAGGGAGGGAGGAGGGCUUGUCAUGGAGGAGUUGGUAACAGAUGUUUUGGACUCUUGCAAGCAGUCUUUAUUGAUUUUUCUUCCUUUCCCAGUCACUUCCUGCAGAGGCAGCACGGAACGGUCUCCUCAGGACACUGACCCAGAUGUGCCCUCCUCCAUCUCUGCAGUGACCACUGAGACUGGGAGUGAUGAAGUGUUUAUCAUUUCUGCUGGACCUGGGACCAGUGGGCUGAGCUUUACCACCUACAGGAUACAGGACAAAAACCUGAAAAGAAGUGUCACAAGCCCAGCCUCUGUGUCUGACUGGCUGAGCUCACACCCCACGGCUGCAGGGGCAGAUGCUGCUGAGAAGGGGAAUGUGCAGCUGGAGAAUCCCUGUCCCAGGCAGCGCACGUGGAGCGCCCGCACCUUCCACGACUUCCUGGCUCCAAUACCACAGCUACAGAAAAAAUGGUGUAGCUGGAGCACCAACAGCCCCUUCACAAAGCUGGUUGACAGCAGUGGCUUUUCUACAGCUGCAAGAUCUCAACCUGUGCCAACCAGAAAGGUAAUCUCAGCCACUGAGAUAGAGGGAGCAUCAGAGACUGUUUACUCUGAUUCAUCUGCCAGUAAUGCUUCAUACCCCCUCACUCUGUCUGCACAGAGGCAACGGAAGUUAACCUCCUGCAAUUUGAAGAAAUCCAGAUUUGGGAACCCUUAUUUUGGAUUUUUAGCCAGUUCCCCUGACACCAAACAUGUAAGGUCCUUGGAUCCCUCAAGACAUCUAGGGGCAGCAUCUCCAGUUAACAGCCAAAGCCCCAAAAAUCUUCUAGAGAGCUCCAACCCACUGAAAAUCAACUUGGUCAACGGUUCAAAAACAAAGGAGCUUAUGGCAGAAACAGAUAAAAACAAACCAGUUUUUGUUAUUUCUGAAGAAGGGGAUGAUCAGCAGCCUCUGGUCUUGGCAGAACACCUUAGUCAGUGUGGAGAUCACCUGCCAGAGCAAAAUGCUGUGUAUGCUCUGGCCCUGCCAGAAAAACAGCCAGUGGUUCCAACUGCAGAGGGGAACAGCUCUGCCACCUUCACAUCGAGUCUUCCCCUUUGGGCAAAAUCCCCCACUUCAUACAAAGGUCACGGGAAGGCCCCCAGCUCCUCCAGGGACCAGCAGAGCUCAGCAGGUGGAGAUGCCAACACUACUGAGACCUCACAGAACUGUGACACCCCUGCUGCUCCUACGCUGUGCCAAGCUUCAGUCCAGUGA